rnacentral:rRNA from 1 species
UGCUGGAGGUAUCAGAAGUGCGAAUGCUGACAUAAGUAACGAUAAAGCGGGUGAAAAGCCCGCUCGCCGGAAGACCAAGGGUUCCUGUCCAACGUUAAUCGGGGCAGGGUGAGUCGACCCCUAAGGCGAGGCCGAAAGGCGUAGUCGAUGGGAAACAGGUUAAUAUUCCUGUACUUGGUGUUACUGCGAAGGGGGGACGGAGAAGGCUAUGUUAGCCGGGCGACGGUUGUCCCGGUUUAAGCAUGUAGGCUGGUUGUCCAGGCAAAUCCGGAUAAUCAAGGCUGAGGUGUGAUGACGAGGCACUACGGUGCUGAAGUAACAAAUGCCCUGCUUCCAGGAAAAGCCUCUAAGCAUCAGGUAACAUUAAAUCGUACCCCAAACCGACACAGGUGGUCAGGUAGAGAAUACCAAGGCGCUUGAGAGAACUCGGGUGAAGGAACUAGGCAAAAUGGUGCCGUAACUUCGGGAGAAGGCACGCUGGUGUGUAGGUGAAGUCCCUGCGGAUGGAGCUGAGACCAGUCGAAGAUACCAGCUGGCUGCAACUGUUUAUUAAAAACACAGCACUGUGCAAACACGAAAGUGGACGUAUACGGUGUGACGCCUGCCCGGUGCCGGAAGGUUAAUUGAUGGGGUUAUCCGUAAGGAGAAGCUCUUGAUCGAAGCCCCGGUAAACGGCGGCCGUAACUAUAACGGUCCUAAGGUAGCGAAAUUCCUUGUCGGGUAAGUUCCGACCUGCACGAAUGGCGUAAUGAUGGCCAGGCUGUCUCCACCCGAGACUCAGUGAAAUUGAACUCGCUGUGAAGAUGCAGUGUACCCGCGGCAAGACGGAAAGACCCCGUGAACCUUUACUAUAGCUUGACACUGAACAUUGAGCCUUGAUGUGUAGGAUAGGUGGGAGGCUUUGAAGCGUGGACGCCAGUCUGCGUGGAGCCAACCUUGAAAUACCACCCUUUAAUGUUUGAUGUUCUAACGUUGGCCCCUUACCGGGGUUGCGGACAGUGUCUGGUGGGUAGUUUGACUGGGGCGGUCUCCUCCCAAAGCGUAACGGAGGAGCACGAAGGUUAGCUAAUCCUGGUCGGACAUCAGGAGGUUAGUGCAAUGGCAUAAGCUAGCUUGACUGCGAGCGUGACGGCGCGAGCAGGUGCGAAAGCAGGUCAUAGUGAUCCGGUGGUUCUGAAUGGAAGGGCCAUCGCUCAACGGAUAAAAGGUACUCCGGGGAUAACAGGCUGAUACCGCCCAAGAGUUCAUAUCGACGGCGGUGUUUGGCACCUCGAUGUCGGCUCAUCACAUCCUGGGGCUGAAGUAGGUCCCAAGGGUAUGGCUGUUCGCCAUUUAAAGUGGUACGCGAGCUGGGUUUAGAACGUCGUGAGACAGUUCGGUCCCUAUCUGCCGUGGGCGCUGGAGAAUUGAGGGGGGCUGCUCCUAGUACGAGAGGACCGGAGUGGACGCAUCACUGGUGUUCGGGUUGUCAUGCCAAUGGCACUGCCCGGUAGCUAAAUGCGGAAGAGAUAAGUGCUGAAAGCAUCUAAGCACGAAACUUGCCCCGAGAUGAGUUCUCCCUGAGACUUUAAGUCUCCUGAAGGAACGUUGAAGACGACGACGUUGAUAGGCCGGGUGUGUAAGCGCAGCGAUGCGUUGAGCUAACCGGUACUAAUGAACCGUGAGGCUUAACC